AUGUGGAACAGUCAGUCCCCUUCAGUACCCAGCAUGGACAUGAGGGCCCCUGCUCAACUCCUGGGGCUCCUGCUUCUUUGGCUCCCAGGAGGCACAGCGACCAUCACCUGCAGGGCCAGUGAAAAUGUUAUUUAUGGUUUAGCCUGGUACCAGCAGCAACCAGGGAAAGCCCCUAAACUCCUGAUCUAUGCUGCAGAUAGUUUGGUGUCUGGAGUUCCAUCCAGGUUCAGUGGCAGUGGAUCUGGGACAGAGUUCACUCUCACCAUCAGCAGCCUACAGCCUGAAGAUGUUGCCACUUAUUACUGUCAACAAGGUCCCAGUGAACAUGACUUCCUUAAUAUCUCCCCUCCAAGAGUCAUUAACAUAGAUUCACAACUAAGACAAAGAAGACUGUCCUGA